rnacentral:rRNA from 1 species
CCUACGGGAGGCAGCAGUGAGGAAUAUUGGUCAAUGGACGAGAGUCUGAACCAGCCAAGUAGCGUGAAGGAUGACUGCUCUAUGGGUUGUAAACUUCUUUUAUAAAGGAAUAAAACGAGGCACGUGUGCAUUUUUGCAUGUACUUUAUGAAUAAGGAUAGGCUAACUCAGUGCCAGCAGCCGCGGUAAUACGGAGGAUCCGAGGGUUAUCCGGAUUUAUUGGGUUUAAAGGGAGCGUAGAUGGGUUGUUAAGUCAGGUGUGAAAGUUUGCGGCUCAACCGUAAAAUUGCAAUUGAUACUGGCAGUCUUGAGUACAGGUGAGGUAGGCGGAAUUCGAGGUGUAGCGGUGAAAUGCUUAGAUAUCACGAGGAACCCCGAUUGCGAAGGCAGCUUACUAAACUGUGACUGACAUUGAGGCUCGAAAGUGUGGGUAGCAAACAGGAUUAGAUACCCGAGUAGUC